rnacentral:lncRNA from 1 species
AUGAUCCCUGUCCCUGUUGAAGCCAACACCCUCAGUGUCUUUAUCGCUUUUGCAUUUUCUACCUUAUUUUCACCUACAGCAUCUUCUGUGUUGCUCGUCCUUGCUUUUCCAUCGGACAGGUAUCUCAUCAAGGCUGUGGCCCCCCUAAUAUCCGGGGAGUUUGGUAGUUCUGCCAACUCCUAUACGAGUAAAGUGAACAAGACGGCAUCCUGGUGCUACAAUCUGUCAAGAUUCGCCGCGAUAAAGAAAUGAUGCAAAGAGCGGCGGAGCCAUUCCGCAGAACUCCAGCUUGUAUGCGUACAGACUUCGGCGCUAUAAUGUGUUUAAUGAUCCAGGAUAACUCGUGAGCUUUUUCACCUGCCUUUUAUGAUAUGAUAAGAUGUAGUAUUCUCGUGCCAAAAAUAAAUAAAUACAUAAAAAUGAGCAAAUUAAAAAAAAAUCUCCCAGCCCUGCUCCUUAUGUUCAGACCCCCCCACACACACCCACAUAAAAUAAUCGUGGUGAUAUUUUAUCUGGGAAUAUGGGUAGCCACGUUUGCCGCUCCCAGUUAUUUUAUGCCACAGUGGAUCAAAAGAAGCUACGAUGGCUUCUCUCACCGCG